UGGGGGAUAUUGCACAAUGGGGGAAACCCUGAUGCAGCGACGCCGCGUGAGUGAAGAAGUAUUUCGGUAUGUAAAGCUCUAUCAGCAGGGAAGAAGAUGACAGUACCUGAGUAAGAAGCCCCGGCUAACUACGUGCCAGCAGCCGCGGUAAUACGUAGGGGGCAAGCGUUAUCCGGAUUUACUGGGUGUAAAGGGAGCGUAGACGGUUGUAUAAGUCUGGAGUGAAAGCCCGGGGCCCAACCCCGGGACUGCUUUGGAAACUGUGUAACUUGAGUACAGGAGGGGCAGGCGGAAUUCCUGGUG
rnacentral:rRNA from 1 species